AAGGAGGAGGGGUGGCUGACAGCUCUGAGAGGCCACACUUAAAAAGUUCUAACCAGAACUUGCUCCAAAGAAAGAAAGAAGGCAAUGGGAGGAACUGUGGUCAAGAUGGCGCUGUGAGCAGACGUUGAACUCGCCUCCUCCCACGAGCACAACCAGGUUACAACAAUUUUGGGAAGAAUCACCCUGGAUUGAAAACGGAAAACUGGAUAAAAAGAACCCCCACGACAAGGGACAGUCCUGACGAAAGCAGAAGAAGGAGUGACUCGGGCCGGAGAGGAAAAAAGCCACCUUUGGGAGCAGCGGAGCCUCUCAGCUGGCCAGGCGGGAGCCAACCUAAGGAACUGCUGCAGAAGUUCAAAAUGAUACACAAAAUGUGCAAAGUUCUUGCAUUCUAAGCUCAGAGAUUCAUCAGCAAUUGGGAUCAGACACUUACCCUCAAGGCCUAAGGAAAGAACCCCAGAGUGAAGCUAGCACCUAGAAGAAGAAGGCAGAUGGGGAAACUGUCCAAGCUGCUGAAGACACAGAUAGUCCCAGCUAUGCUUUGAAGAGGAGAGAAAGCUUUGAAUAGAGUUUGAGAUAGAAGUCUUAAAAUAGAUAAGACUGGAUUUCAAAUGCUGAAAUAGGACUGUUCUAAUAACUGAAAGUGCCUGGAAUAUUAGAGAGUCUAUUCACAAUUCUAUUAGACAAAGUGAAUGGCCUUGCUCUCGCCAGAGUUUGGCCCAAGUCAUGAGCAAAGCUAUCAGCAAUAGGAAUGGAAUUAAGUAGAUGGGUCAUUGAAAGCUAGAUGUGGGGUUUAGGCAGGUCUGAAUCCCAGCAAAGAUAUCUGAACCAAAGGUACAGAUUUGGAAGCUCUUAGCACUUAAAAAUGAUAGCACCAAUAAAUAUUAACAAAAAUAUAAUAUUAUUAACAAUAAUAAUAUUAACAAUAACAAUUAAUAUUUGUUGACCUCUUACUACUUGCUAGGCUCUAUACUGAGAGUUUUAUAUAGGUUAUAUAAUUUAAACCUUAGGACAUCCUAAUGUACCUAAAGGGGGCCACUUUUGUGCCCAUUUUACAUAGAAGGAAAAUAAAAAUGUAGAGAAUUUAAGGAACUUGCCCUGAUUUCCCAGCUGGUAAACAACAGAACAGUUAUCUAAACUGAAGUGGUUCUGACUCCAGUGGCCACUUGCUUAACUGAAUUCAUUAAACUGCCUUCUGAACAUUUUCAACAGUAUGAAAGUAGAUGUCAUCAUUUAGAAAUACACAAAGUAAGAAGGAAGGAGGACUCUGAAAAACACUAAAGCAGAGAGGCUGGAAAGAUGGACAAAAAAAUAGCCGAGGUUAAUUUAUUUUGUAAGAUGAGGACAGUGAGAUGAUUACAGAAAUACAAAAGAUUUGGGUUUUAUUUUCCCCAACCGGUGUUGGAAAGCCAAUUUAGGAUGGAGAACAUGAAUUUAUAAUAGCAUCUACUUUGCUGGUGGUGGAUAUGUCUUCACAGGUAAAAUGCAUGUUUUCUCUAAGGAAAUAACACACGAUCUACCAGUUCCAUUCUCUAUUCCUUGAUAACAGCAGCACAGAAUAAAGUACCUGAUUAACAACUUUGUUACAUGUAUAUACCUAUAUGGCAAAGGUACAACUAGUGGAUGCGUACAUAGAACAGAUCUUUUUAAAAAUAGAAGUCUAUUUUGUGGAUCACAUUCUUUUAAUGUGAUUCAUUUCAUGGGUUACAGAACAUUCUCUACUUCCAGGAAGACGCAGGAAACUGAGCUAAGAUUGCUGAGGUUCAUUCUGUAGCUAAAUAUCCAAAGCUGUUGCAUUCACGGUCCCUCGUAUUUCAUAGAGCCACACCUCAUUUCACUGACCCAGCUCAGGAAUGAGGGGUGCAACACAAAUCAAUUUUCCAGGUAGCUGAUGCUUACCCACUGUAGUAUCAAAUUGAUUCUAUUUUAAUAAAUUUGAUAAAAACCUUCUAAAAUACAUUAUAUGUUUCCAGUCAUUCUUACAGAAGGUACAUUAUAUAAAAUUUACCCUUUUCUUGAUGGUCUAGAAUCAUCCCUAUAACAUCAGUGUUUGCGCUGCACUGUAAUGUGGCAACAUCCUGAAGAGCUAGCGAUUCAGGUAGUUUUCCUCCAGCCUCAGAUCACUUCAGAGCUAGCAUAAUCAUUUUGAAUAAAAGCACAACAAAGAACACCAUGUGUCUUAUUUCCAGCCAUUAAAAUUAUCCAAGGUUAAAAUCUUGGCUCUCCCAUUUAAGAGUUGCGUUACUCUUUAGGUAAGUUAUUAACCUCUUACGAGUCUGUUUUCCCACUAGCAAAAUGGAGGUAAAAUAAGAGCUAUAUCGAGUAUGUACUAAGUUCUGGCCACCGUGCUAUGGUCUUGACUCCAGAAUGAGCAGCAAAAAAGGACAGACAUUAAAAAACACAGACUCUAGAACCAGACCAUUC
ensembl:lncRNA